rnacentral:rRNA from 1 species
CAAAGAACUUUGAAGAGAGAGUUCAAGAGGGCGUGAAACUGCUUAGAAGGAAACAGGCAGAGCUGAUGAUAGCCAGCAAGAGUCAACCUACAGUAAUUGGGCUGCAUACAGUAAGGGACUGAUUGCCCACUGCUUGCUUCCCUUUCAUGGUUGGUGCAUUUCUUGCUGGUGAGCACUGAGCACUUCAAAUAUGCAUUCUGAAAGCUAAGGUGCCGGCCCCUUUGGGGGUGUCCCACUGAGCUGGAAGCUUGUCAUUGCUGCUGUAUGAAGGUGUCAGUAACUCUGAACCCUUGCUCACUUGCUGAGAAUUUGUUAUGUGUGCUUGCACACCUAGCUCUACUUUGGCUUGAUUUGUGAGGAACCUGAAUGACACUGUGCUUUGUGUAAAAGUCAGCAACCUGCCUGACCCGUCUUGAAACACGGACCAAGGAGUCUAACAUGUGCGCAAGUCAAUGGGUGGUAAACCCAGAGGCACAAUGAAAGUGAAAGCUCACUUGAGGAGCAGAUACACAAUAUCAGCUUGCUGAACACAGUGUUGCCCCGUCUUGUCUGCAUUGUCAGAGGGGCGGAGGCAGAGCGUAUAUGUUGGGACCCGAAAGAUGGUGAACUAUGCCUGAGCAGGAUGAAGCCAGAGGAAACUCUGGUGGAGGUCCGAAACAGUUCUGACGUGCAAAUCGAUUGUCAGACUUGGGUAUAGGGGCGAAAGACUAAUCGAACCAUC